AGAGCGAACGCUGGCGGCAUGCUUAACACAUGCAAGUCGCACGGUCAGCAAUGGCAGUGGCGCACGGGUGAGUAACACGUGAAUAAUCUACCUCCGAGUGGGGAAUAACUGAGAGAAAUCUUAGCUAAUACCGCAUAACACUUACGAGUCAAGGCAGCAAUGCGCUUGGAGAGGAGUUCGCGGCAGAUUAGUUAGUUGGCGGGGUAAUGGCCCACCAAGACGAUGAUCUGUA
rnacentral:rRNA from 1 species